CCUUCGGGUUAGUGGCGGACGGGUGAGUAACGCGUGAGAAUCUGCCCUCAGGAGGGGGAUAACGGUUGGAAACGGCCGCUAAUACCCCAUAUGCCGAGAGGUGAAAUGAAUUUCGCCUGAGGAUGAGCUCGCGUCUGAUUAGCUAGUUGGUGGGGUAGAGGCCUACCAAGGCGUCGAUCAGUAGCUGGUCUGAGAGGAUGAUCAGCCACACUGGGACUGAGACACGGCACAGACUCCUACGGGAGGCAGCAGUGGGGAAUUUUCCGCAAUGGGCGAAAGCCUGACGGAGCAACGCCGCGUGAGGGAUGAAGGCCUCUGGGCUGUAAACCUCUUUUAUCAAGGAAGAAGAUCUGACGGUACUUGAUGAAUAAGCCACGGCUAAUUCCGUGCCAGCAGCCGCGGUAAUACGGGAGUGGCAAGCGUUAUCCGGAAUUAUUGGGCGUAAAGCGUCCGCAGGCGGCCUUUUAAGUCUGUCGUUAAAGCGUGGAGCUUAACUCCAUUCCUGCGAUGGAAACUGGAAGGCUAGAGUGUGGUAGGGGCAGAGGGAAUUCCCGGUGUAGCGGUGAAAUGCGUAGAUAUCGGGAAGAACACCAGUGGCGAAGGCGCUCUGCUGGGCCAUAACUGACGCUCAUGGACGAAAGCCAGGGGAGCGAAAGGGAUUAGAUACCCCUGUAGUCCUGGCCGUAAACGAUGAACACUA
rnacentral:rRNA from 1 species